UGUUACAAUGGGGGGUACAGAGGGCCGCUACCACGCAAGUGGAUGCCAAUCCCCAAAACCUCUCUCAGUUCGGAUUGAAGUCUGCAACCCGACUUCAUGAAGCUGGAUUCGCUAGUAAUCGCGCAUCAGCCACGGCGCGGUGAAUACGUUCCCGGGCCUUGUACACACCGCCCGUCAAGCCAUGGGAGCCGGGGGUACCUGAAGUGCGUAACCGCAAGGAGCGCCCUAGGGUAAAACUGGUGACUGGGGCUAAGUCGUAACAAGGUACC
rnacentral:rRNA from 1 species